AACGAACGCUGGCGGCAGGCCUAACACAUGCAAGUCGAGCGAAGCCCUCGGGCUUAGCGGCGGACGGGUGAGUAACGCGUGGGAACGUGCCCUUUGGUACGGAAUAGCCCCGGGAAACUGGGAGUAAUACCGUAUGUGCCCUUCGGGGGAAAGAUUUAUCGCCAAAGGAUCGGCCCGCGUUGGAUUAGGUAGUUGGUGGGGUAAUGGCCUACCAAGCCGACGAUCCAUAGCUGGUUUGAGAGGAUGAUCAGCCACACUGGGACUGAGACACGGCCCAGACUCCUACGGGAUGCAGCAGUGGGGAAUUUUAGACAAUGGGGGAAACCCUGAUCUAGCCAUGCCACGUGAUCGAUGAAGGCCUUAGGGUUGUAAAGAUCUUUCAGUGGGGAAGAUAAUGACUGUACCCACAGAAGAAGCCCCGGCUAACUCCGUGCCAGCCGCCGCCGUAACAC
rnacentral:rRNA from 1 species